CAAGUACUCCCUCCGUCCGGAAUUACUUGUCAUCAAAAUGGAUGUGUCUAGAACUAAAAUACAUCUAGAUACAUCCAUUUCAAUGACAAGUAUUUUCGGACGGAGGGAGUACANU
rnacentral:pre_miRNA from 1 species